CAGGCGUCCACACUCAGACACUCAUCAGGAGGUAUUUGUUGGUAUGUGGUCAGACACACAAUUUGGAUCCAGUUAUUUACGAGGACUAGAUGUGAGUGUUGUCUUGUGACUCUGAGGAGGGGUUUUUUAAUAGGGAGAGAGUCUUGAGUUUGCUAGUUACUGUUGUUGUGGAUUGAAAGUGUUCCCCAAAGUCCUUUGAUCUCUGGUUAGCCUGGCACUUGAAGUCACUGACAGACCUUCCUGUGGGAGGACUUUCUUCCUCUGUAUCUGAGCCUCAGAAGGAGGUGGACUUCCAAGUGGACAUCCUCUGCACCUGCCGGCACCCAGCCCCGCAGCGGAGAGCCCCUGAGGGAGGUGGAAGAGAGUGCAUCACGGUUUGGCAGCAGGAGGACUCAGGAAGACACUGAUGCGUCAGGAACUGAGAAGAGUGGUGGUGACGCUCAGAUGAUUAUCUGCAUAAAGCCACUUGAGGAUAUAAGCAAAGAAAACAAGGUAGAAAAUCCAGGGGAAAGAAGACAUGAAAUAUCCGGCUUGGAGACAGGCCUGAUGGCACACCUGGGUCCGAGGGGCAGGCAGGGGCGCCCUGGGGAGGAGAUCGGGGGAGGAGAAAAAGCUCCCCGGACUUGCUCACAGGGAGAUGGCCAAUCCGAGCAGUAUGUCGGACUGCUCAACAUAGUGGAGCUUGCAGAGAGAACUAUGAAUACAGAAGCGUGGACAGAGUGAGAGAAAGAAAGGCAAUGUCGAAGCCCCCAGCCGCGGACACUAACCCUGAUGCUACUCAGCUCUGUGACAACUCUGAUCAUGUUCAUUAAAGUCACGAUUUAACGUCAGUAGGAGGUGUACCAAAGCCCAAUCUUCUCACCCAAACAGAAAGCCAGUAUCCACUAUUGGUCAAUCAAGAAGUCCCAUUCGAAGACCAUCAUCCAGAAACAUGGUAGCUCCUAGGAUCCCGGGUGAGGCUUGCCAGUGUCCGCUCCAGGGACCAGAAGAGAAGGGUCUUUCGUUGUGCGUGGUUCACAGCACUAUUUGAUAUUUUUGAUCAUGUGUGUUUCGUAUUGGUCGCCAUAACUUGGAUGUUAUGAUCCAUUGUUACUUUGUCUUCGGUUCGGCAAGCCUGGCAGCAGUGUCCGCUCACAGUCCUUGGCACCUAACUGAAGCCCGCGGUUCCCAGGCUCUGUGGCUGGCCUUUUCCCAAACUUGUGGCCCCACAGUGGGGAAAUCUCAGCUGGCUCUGUGAGCCUGUGGCCUGGGUGCCGUGAACAGGCACCCCUGAGCCCCUGCGUGUCCCGGGAGGACUGUCAUAGGGCUCCCACCGCAAAGCAGAGCCCUUCGACCCCAGCACCUGCUUUUCCUGUGAAGCUGCACUUGAACCCCACACCGACUCAGGCCGCAGCACUCUUGCUGUCUGCUACAUCCAUUGUCUUGCUCACAGGGAGAUGGCCAAGCACGCCGCCUCGUUCAGCUCCCAGCUGUGUCACUUGCUGACUGGACACUCUUGGGCGAGUUGCCUGCCCUCUCUGAGCUUUGGUUUCUUUGCUGUAAAAUGGGGUAAUAACAGCACCUACAGCACAGGCCACGGGAUGGUACGUCCUCAUCCAAGAAUAUGAGAACAUGUCUCUGUUCUGAAUCUCCCCAGUCCUGGAAUAUUCCACCAGACACCCAGGUUAUGGCUCUUGGAGUAUCGCUGCUGGGGGACCUCCAUCUGCCUGCUGGACACAUUCUCAUGCCCCUGAUUUGUAGAGCGAGUGUGGACUGCACCUGCUACAGUCUGCUCUGAUUUGCCUCUUACCAGCCAUCUCCCCUGACUGGAAUGCAGGUGCUUUAUUCUGUCCACGUCUGAGCUCCCAGUGCCCUAGGAACCUGCCUGGUAAGUAGAAGGCACUUUACACAU